rnacentral:rRNA from 1 species
GUGCCAGCCGCCGCGGUAAGACGUAGGGGGCGAGCGUUAUCCGGAUUCACUGGGCGUAAAGGGCGCGCAGGCGGCUAUGUAAGUCCGGCGUGAAAUCCCACGGCUCAACUGUGGAAUUGCGUCGGAUACUGCAUUGGCUUGAGGACGGUAGAGGCUUCUGGAACUAGCGGUGUAGCGGUGAAAUGCGCAGAUAUCGCUAGGAACGCCGGUGGCGAAGGCGGGAGGCUGGGCCGAUCCUGACGCUGAGGCGCGAAAGCUAGGGGAGCGAACCGGAUUAGAUACCCUGGUAGUCC